rnacentral:rRNA from 1 species
GUGAGGAAUAUUGCGCAAUGGAGGCAACUCUGACGCAGCCAUGCCGCGUGCAGGAAGAAGGCGCUACGCGUUGUAAACUGCUUUUAACCGGGAAGAAACCCCAGGACGUGUCCUGGGUUGACGGUACCGGAGGAAUAAGCACCGGCUAACUUCGUGCCAGCAGCCGCGGUAAUACGAAGGGUGCAAGCGUUAUCCGGAUUCAUUGGGGUUAAAGGGUGCGUAGGCGGCGAGUUAAGUCAGUGGUGAAAUCCUGCAGAUUAUCUGUAGACUUGCCAUUGAUACUGGCGCUCUUGAGUGCGCUUGAAGUGGGCGGAAUGUGCCGUGUAGCGGUGAAAUGCUUAGAUAUGGCACAGAACACCAAUUGCGAAGGCAGCUCACUAAGGCGAUACUGACGCUGAGGCACGAAAGCGUGGGGAUCGAACAGGAUUAGAUACCCGAGUAGUCC